rnacentral:rRNA from 1 species
GACGAACCGUGCGAACGUUGUUCGGAAUCACUGGGCUUAAAGGGCGCGUAGGCGGGCGGUCUCGUCGGGGGUGAAAUCCUGCCGCUCAACGGCAGAACUGCCUCUGAUACGGGCCGUCUCGAGGGAGGUAGGGGCCUGUGGAACUUCCGGUGGAGCGGUGAAAUGCGUAGAUAUCGGAAGGAACGCCGGGUGGCGAAAGCGGGUCUCUGGACCGAUACUGACGCUGAGGAGCGAAAGCGUGGGGAGCGAACAGG